UCCUGGGCCCUCUUUCCUUAGGGCGGGCUCUGUUGUGACCUUCCCUGUGACCUGGGCAUUUCCCAGUUUCUGCCCCUGGAAAUCAGAGCCAGGGAUCUGGGCUGGGGAAUUUUAGGGGCUACUAAGUGGUAGAACUGGGACUUGAGCUUCUGAGCUGGGGUGCUUCAGAUGCAAGGAGAAAGAACAGGCCUCAAGCCCGCAGUUCACAUGGCCCCUCCCCAUGUGAAUUUUCAUGGUGCUGUUUAUAUGCUAGCAGAAGCUGGGCAAAGUGAGUGUUCAGGUGGCCCUGAUCCAGCUCUCAGGAGUCCCAUUCCCUUCCUCCUCUGUCGCCCACACAGCCCCCACCACCUGGCCGCCCACCUGAAAAACUUUUCCCCAAGUUCUUGAGAAGUCGCGUAGGAUCCAGGAGAGAAAAAUCAAAGUAAUAAAACCUCAUUUAAUUCCUAACG
rnacentral:lncRNA from 1 species